CGCCAGACUCCUACGGGAGGCAGCAGUGAGGAAUAUUGGUCAAUGGGCGGGAGCCUGAACCAGCCAAGUCGCGUGAGGGAAGACGGUCCUAUGGAUUGUAAACCUCUUUAGGCGGGGAGCAAUGCCGGGCACGUGUGCCCGGAGGGAGAGUACCCGCAGAAUAAGCAUCGGCUAACUCCGUGCCAGCAGCCGCGGUAAUACGGAGGAUGCGAGCGUUAUCCGGAUUUAUUGGGCUUAAAGGGUGCGUAGGCGGGAUGCCAAGUCAGCGGUAAAAAUGCGGUGCUCAACGCCGUCGAGCCGUUGAAACUGGCGUUCUUGAGUGGGCGAGAAGUAUGCGGAAUGCGUGGUGUAGCGGUGAAAUGCAUAGAUAUCACGCAGAACUCCGAUUGCGAAGGCAGCAUACCGGCGCCCUACUGACGCUGAGGCACGAAAGCGUGGGUAUCGAACAGGAUUAGAUACCCGAGUAA
rnacentral:rRNA from 1 species